CCUAUUCCUCCUCAGCUAGUCUGUCCCCACACAGCAGAAGUUACAGAUAGAAGUACUCAUUCCUGCCAAUCAUUGCCAAAACCUGCUGGGACCAAGAGACCAAAGCUGUAUACUGUUUGAAUGCAAGUUAUUUCAAAUAAAGCAAUGUUUGAAC